rnacentral:rRNA from 1 species
UACGGGGGGGGCAAGCGUUGUUCGGAAUUACUGGGCGUAAAGCGUGCGUAGACGGUUAUUUAAGUCGGGUGUGAAAGCCCCGGGCUCAACCUGGGAAUUGCAUUCGAGACUGAAUAGCUAGGGUACGGUAGAGGGAAGCGGAAUUUCCGGUGUAGCGGUGAAAUGCGUAGAUAUCGGAAGGAACAUCAGUGGCGAAAGCGGCUUCCUGGACCAGAACUGACGAUCAGGCACGAAAGCGUGGGGAGCAAACAGG